GACAAGGUCAGCAUCUGUCGUUCUGCAGCCCGAACAAGGCAGUUAACCCACUAUUCCUAGGCCAUCAUUGAAAAUAAGAUUUGUUCUUAAUUACUACAUUAAGCUCGAUCUCAUCCAGAUCAUGGCAUUUGUUGUUCUUUAUGAUAGCCACAUUACCACUCAAUUUGCAUUUCCUUUUGGGGGUAAAUAUAUUGAUAAAAGUCACCUUGUCCUAGAGCGAUUUAUCAAAAUGUCAUGCCAGCGUAAGCCUACAUGGAACACAGCCCUUAUUUUUAAGUGUUUCUAAAAAAUAAAAAAUAAAAAAACUAUUGUAAAAAGAAUGGUGGAAAAACUGUUGGAAUCCUUUCCCGUUUGACUUCUAGGUUUUACUGGUAUUAUCACUCGUGUGGUACUGGUGCCGCAUUCAAAACAACUGGGAACUCGGAAACAUACGAGGUCAAAUCAUGACAUCAAUUGAUCUUCAGGCGCUUUUGUAAAAAGGUGGUGGAGAUUUCCAACUGUCGUAAUCAAACACUCCCGGAAGAAGGUCAUGCGCCAUAGAAUACUCGAGAUUCAAUUUACAUGAGCAUGCUGGGUGUUUCUAUGCAGUCAUCUAAAAACGGAUCGAAUUUGUCGAGAAACCACACCAAUAUGUGUAUAACGGGGACCGUGCGAUCUUUCCUUAGCGAGACAUCUAACUCGCCUGGUGACAAAAGGGUCUUAUUCUACAAACAGUAACGUGAAAACAUGCUGCGGUCGCUUUGGUAAAGUUGUCUCAUCAAUGACAGGAGCCGGGAGGCUAGCGAAACUCAACCAAUGGACCAGGAUUACAGGUUUCUUUGCCGGGGAAAGAAAGAUUUUGGGCUGCGGGGCUUCAGCCAGUUACAACCAUAUAAGAUUGUUUGGCAACGAAGCAGCAGCAUUGGCUUCUCCGGGGAAGACCUCUCGGAGAGCAGCGGGUCGGGGGGGAAACCGUACAACUCCCCCUAGAUGACAGCUCUCACUCCCAUGCUGGUGCCUGAAGUGUUCCCCAACGUGCCACCACUGAUCGCCGUCACUAGGAACCUGGUUUUCCCAAGGUUCAUCAAGAUUAUCGAGGUGAAUAACAAACAGCUUAUGGAUCUUCUGAGGAGGAAAGGCCAACUGGCCCAACCAUAUGCUGGAGUGUUCCUGAAGAAAGAUGAUGCUAAUGACUGAUGUGGUGGAGAGUCGUCUCGAUGCCAUCUACAACACAGGAACCUUUGUACAGAUCCAUGAGAUGCAGGACCUUUGGUGACAAGCUGAGGAUGAUAGUCAUGGGCCAUCAAAGAAUCUGCAUCAUCAAGCAGAUGGAGGUGGAGCCGGAUGAGCCUGCCACUGCUGCCUCUGAGCCUGCGUCUGACACUGAACCAGGGAGCCAGCCCUAGGCCCCACACCGGAAGGCCAAGAGAUAAGAGCGUAAAGAGCCAGCCACCCUGGCUAAAACCAUGGAUUAGAAGGAGCAGACCUGAUCGUAGAGUCACUCCCUCUGCCCUCCAAGGAUAUCCUUAUGGCUUAUCUCUCCUGGCUCUUUUCCAAUAUAUUCUCACAAGUACACCACCUAGAUACAGUGGUUGCGCCACUAAAAGUUUUGCGAUUAUGCUGCGGUACUUAGAGGUAAUUUGUGGUUUAGUACAGUACCCUGCCUCACUACAUUGCUCCAGACCAGCGCAAGGGGGAGUUGGAGCACUGAUUAUGCUUUUGGGUCCUACCGUGUCUCUAACUGAUGAUGAAUGGGUGACAUAAACCUAAAUAGAAUAGGUUUGAUAUAGAAUAGGUUGAUAAAUGUGCACGACUUUAGUAUUACCUACUAAAACUGUUGUUACACUAAGGUUUUUAUUAUUUUAUUUUGUUAGGAUUAUUUUGCUCUUACUGUAGUACUGUAGCCCACUCCCGACCAGUCACGCUGUACAGAGCAUGAGUGGCACAAUGGUCUUAGACACUGCAUAGCAAUGGAAGCUGUGUUGCUACAAAUGCUGGUUCAAUACCCAUGCCGGCCUCGACUGAGAGACCAAUAAGGAGAUUGUCGGUUUUUGUUUUCUCUCCCUCUAAAAACAGAAAUAAAUCAUUCUAAAUAACAAAUUGGCAUUAUUUACAAAUUAGUAACAAUGUC